GGUCAAGAGUGCCAGCGUCAAGUCCCGGCUUGCUGGCCGACAACCCUCCGACCGCGGUGGGGUGCCCCCGGGAGAGACCAGGCCCGUUGCAGUAGCGCGACGGGCAAGCGCGGACU
rnacentral:ncRNA from 1 species